GGUUUGGAAGAAGGCAAUCCGCGAGUCCGCUCAUAGAAGGCUAGCCGCGAGUCCACGUGCAGAAGGCUAGCAGCGAACCCACUGGAAGAAGGCCAACCGAAGGAGGAGUUUCAGUUGGCGCUUUUCAAGACCAGUAAGAAGGAGAGUUUGUUUGCUGAUCGAUGCAUAGAGAUGCCAUCGUAUGUCGUGUACAAGGGUAAGGUUCCCGGAGUCUACGACGACUGGGAGGAGUGUCGGAGACAGGUUCACCGUUUCAGCGGUAACAGUUACAAAGGGUACACCACUAGGGCGGAGGCGGAAGCUAGAUAGGCGCGCUAUCUAGCGGGAGAGAGGAGGGAGCGGAGGAGGAACCG